GACGAACGCUGGCGGCGUGCCUAAUACAUGCAAGUAGAACGAGUUGCGAACGGGUGAGUAACGCGUGGUAAACUGCCUCAUAGUGGGGGAUAACUAUUGGAAACGGUAGCUAAUACCGCCUACCAUCGGUUGUGCCCAGCUGGGAUUAGCUAGUCGGUGGGGUAACGGCUCACCUAGGCGACGAUGCCUCGCUGGUCUGAGAGGAUGACCGGCCACACUGGAACUGAGACAAGGUCCAGACUCCUACGGGAGGCAGCAGUGGGGAAUAUUGCGCAAUGGGCGCAAGCCUGAUCCAGCCAUGCCGCGUGUAUGAAGAAGGCCUUCGGGUUGUAAAGUACUUUCAGCGAGGAAGCGUUACUCACAGAGAAAGCAACGGCUAACUCCGUGCCAGCAGCCGCGGUAAUUC
rnacentral:rRNA from 1 species